GUGUGAAUUGCAGAAUUCCGUGAACCAUCGAAUCUUUGAACGCAUAUUGCGCUCGACCCCUCGGGGAAGAGCAUGUCUGCCUCAGCGUCGGUUUACACCC
rnacentral:rRNA from 1 species